rnacentral:rRNA from 1 species
AUACGUAGGGUGCGAGCGUUAAUCGGAAUUACUGGGCGUAAAGCGUGCGCAGGCGGAUUGUUAAGCAAGACGUGAAACGUCCCCGGGCUUAACCGUGGGAAUGGUCGUUUUGAACUGGCAGUCUAGAGUGUGUCAGAGGGGGGUGGAAUUCCACGUGUAGCAGUGAAAUGCGUAGAGAUGUGGAGGAACACCAAUGGCGAAGGCAGCCCCCUGGGAUAACACUGACGCUCAUGUACGAAAGCGUGGGUAGC